UUUCCGGUUGAUCCUGCCGGAGGUCAUUGCUAUCGGAGUCCGAUUUAGCCAUGCUAGUCGUGCGAGUUCACACUCGCGGCACCGAGCUCAGUAACACGUGGCCAAACUACCCUACAGAGACGGAUACCCUCGGGAAACUGAGGUUAACCCGUCAUACCGAUCUCAGGCUUGAAUCGCAGAGAUCACUAAAUGCCCCGGCGCUGUAGGAUGUGGCUGCGGUUGAUUAGGUUGACGGUGGGGUAACGGCCCACCGUGCCCAUAAUCAGUACAGGUUGUGAGAGUCAGAGCCCGGAGACGGAAUCUGAGACAAGAUUCCGGGCCCUACGGGGCGCAGCAGGCGCGAAACCUUUACACUGCACGCACGUGCGAUAAGGGGACUCCGAGUGCGAGGGCAUAUCGUCCUCGCUUUCGUGUACCGUAGGGUGGUACACCAACAAGGGCUGGGCAAGACCGGUGCCAGCCGCCGCGGUAAUACCGGCAGCCCGAGUGAUGGCCGAUCUUAUUGGGCCUAAAGCGUCCGUAGCUGGCUGCGCAAGUCCGUCGGGAAAUCCACUCGCCCAACGAGUGGGCGUCCGACGGAAACUGCAUAGCUUGGGACCGGAAGGCUCGAAGGGUACGUGCGGGGUAGGAGUGAAAUCCCAUAAUCCCGCACGGACCACCGAUGGCGAAAGCACUUCGAGAAAACGGAUCCGACAGUGAGGGACGAAAGCCAGGGUCUCCAACCGGAUUAGAUACCCGGGUAGUCCUGGCCGUAAACAAUGUUCGCUAGGUAUGACACAGACUACGUGUCUCUGUUGUGCCGUAGGGAAGCCGAGAAGCGAACCGCCUGGGAAGUACGUCCGCAAGGAUGAAACUUAAAGGAAUUGGCGGGGGAGCACUACAACCGGAGGAGCCUGCGGUUUAAUGGAUUCAACGCCGGGA
rnacentral:rRNA from 1 species